rnacentral:rRNA from 1 species
GGGGAAUAUUGGGCAAUGGGCGCAAGCCUGACCCAGCAACGCCGCGUGAAGGAAGAAGGCUUUCGGGUUGUAAACUUCUUUGAUCAGGGACGAAACAAAUGACGGUACCUGAAAAACAAGCCACGGCUAACUACGUGCCAGCAGCCGCGGUAAUACGUAGGUGGCGAGCGUUAUCCGGAUUUACUGGGUGUAAAGGGCGUGUAGGCGGUUUUGUAAGUCGGAUGUGAAAUUCCCAAGCUUAACUUGGGCGCUGCAACCGAAACUGCGAAACUUGAGUACUGGAGAGGAUAGUGGAAUUCCUAGUGUAGCGGUAAAAUGCGUAGAUAUUAGGAGGAACAUCAGUGGCGAAGGCGACUAUCUGGACAGUAACUGACGCUGAGGCGCGAAAGCGUGGGGAGCAAAC